AAGUGCACAAAGCAUCCCACAUUUGCAGGCUUUUUGAAGGUUCGAUGUACACAACCUUCCCCUUGCUUUUGCAGAGAGGCUGUUUUCGUGGCUCGUACCCAUGACCUCCAAGUUAUGAGUGGAGUAACUUUUACCGUUACAUCAGAGUCAAUCUCUCAUACUGUCCGAUUUAAAUAUGGAACAAAAUUUAUUUUCCAUACACACCUCUUGAUGCACAUCAGCCAUGGACAAGGUUAACUGUAGAAACACUUUGAUGGUUGCAAGUACAACAGCACCAUUUGCAUGCUGAAGUCUAUCUUCAAGGAGAUUCAUGAUGUCAAAUAUCUCAUUGCUAUCUGCAGGUACAUAUUUAGCAACCAACUCAAGCAAAAGACAUUGAGCCCAUUCACUAAAUUCCCUGAUCCUGAAAUUGAAAAAAAAAAAAAAAAAAAAAUACUGGCAAUAAAAAUGUUUGUAGUCCGAGGAAAAUAUGUAUGGCGCACGCAACACCAAGAGAUGCAGGUGGCUUAAAACAGCAUAUGAUUGCUCUGGACUUCCAGAACUGACUAGGGUAAGGAGUGGAGCUUUAAUACGUUCAUAUACCUGACAAACAAAAAACAAAAUCAUUAGUGAAAUAAUGCUCUAUGAAAGAUCAUCACAGCAAUCUAACAUAAAAAUUAUGGUCCUUCCAAAAUGACCCAAGUUUGGUGUGCUAUUAUUGCAAAAAAUGACAUUUCCUACCACUUAAACAGGCCUGCCUCUAAGAAAAGGAUCAAAUCAGAUUAUAGGUGGGUCCCUCCCAGAUCUUACAUCCCACAAUAUCCCAUCGAUCCCUAGGACAAAAACUAGAAAACAUAUAUCAAAUGACAGAUAUACCUCGUGAAGAAAGUAAGGGUGGGAAAAGGUGUUGAAGACAUAUCCAAAAAAACAUUAUUCUUUACAAAACACUUCCAUAGUUAUUGAUGGAGACAAUCCAGCUAUCCUAGACCUGUUUUUUAAUACGGAAUAAAAUAUUCUUUUUAUAGACGAACUGACAAAGAUAAAUAUCUUCUAUCUCAAAAUCCUAACAUCAUGUAAAAGAAAUAUUUUUUAUGAGAAUUGCUUAAAGAUUAAAACAUGUAAAAAGGAUAGGAGUAGAUUCAUGUAAAAUUUCUCAGUCCUAACAAAGUGGACAUGUAGACCAAAAAUCAAAUUGCUUCACAACAAUAGCAAGUUGUGUGAUUGUGUAAAUGUAAGGAAUUCUCUCUUCUUCCAGUUUUUAUACUGUCCAACUUAAAUAAAAGCGGGUAAUCAAGUGCACAAAGCAUCCCACAUUUGCAGGCUUUUUGAAGGUUCGAUGUACACAACCUUCCCCUUGCUUUUGCAGAGAGGCUGUUUUCGUGGCUCGUACCCAUGACCUCCAAGUUAUGAGUGGAGUAACUUUUACCGUUACAUCAGAGUCAAUCUCUCAUACUGUCCGAUUUAAAUAUGGAACAAAAUUUAUUUUCCAUACACACCUCUUGAUGCACAUCAGCCAUGGACAAGGUUAACUGUAGAAACACUUUGAUGGUUGCAAGUACAACAGCACCAUUUGCAUGCUGAAGUCUAUCUUCAAGGAGAUUCAUGAUGUCAAAUAUCUCAUUGCUAUCUGCAGGUACAUAUUUAGCAACCAACUCAAGCAAAAGACAUUGAGCCCAUUCACUAAAUUCCCU
rnacentral:lncRNA from 1 species